GUUAGGUACAAAUUCGUUCAGCCAGUACCAAGGUUUCCGGUUGGACUUUGAGGGCACCACAUUGCCGCCAUCUCCGCCCGUAACCACAACAACCGAGAAGCCUCGCUACAUUUGCCCAAAAUUGAAACUCAACGUCACCAGUGAGACCCGGGAACUGUUAAUCGAAUCACCACGAUUUCCUGGACCCUAUCCGGCUCCAACGUAUUGUACUUGGGAGAUUGACAUGAAUACGCUACCUGGCAAAUCGCUCUAUAUCCACGCUGAGGCGUUCGAUAUUGUAAUGGACCCGAAUAAUUAUUAUGAGGCCGAUGAAAUGGGAAUCAGCGAAUAUACUACAAAUGACGACUACAGAGAUUUUAGUUCCAUAGGAAGCACGGUCCAACGGGCCUACGAGUUGGAGGAAUAGUGACGAUUAGGUUUAUUACAAAAGCUCAACCAACUACCGCUCAAGGUUUCAGACUCCGAUUAAAAGUUUCUGAUUGCGAUGUCAGGGAUGGCUGUUGCAUCGGCACUCCAGAGCAAGAUGUCUGUUUCAAAGAAGAAAUUAUGUGCAACGAAUCGGACUGUUGGCAACGUCGACUGUCACGACGCUUUAGACGAACAGUGUCCAUCUGGUUGUGGAACUCCUGCUUCUUCGCCG